rnacentral:lncRNA from 1 species
CAGUCGGGCUUACCCAGCAAUCCCCAGGAAUCUAUAGUUCUCGCAGGUAUCGCAUUACAGUGCAGCUGUCAAAGAGCAGAGAUCCGUAAAGAUGUCAGACGUCCUUGACGCUGAGGCAUUCGAGAUAAGCCUACGACAGUGGAGGGCAUGUGGAGAGGCGCUUGUGAAGCGGUGGGAUGAUAUCAUCGAUGAAAUGAGGAAGCUUUCCAUAGCUCAAGCUGGAAAUCGAAUGUAUUGAAAAUUAAUUAGCGUCUUUGGAGGAGUGCUUACUGUAGGUGGAAUACUUACAGCCCCUUUCACAGGAGGAGUAACAGCCGCCGUCAUUACUCUUUUGGGGUCAGGAUUUUCUGCUGUCGGAGGUAUCGUCUAUAAUGUUGCAGCUAUCUAUGAAAAAGUGAAGGAAAAUAGCAAAUCGGACGAGAUCAGUCUGAUGAUGGAUGACUUCCUUCAGAGGACAGAGGGUCUUCUGGAAAGAUACGAUGCAAGCUUCCUCAAAUCCGUUAAGUCGAAGCUGAAGUUCGAUCUUCGUAAUGUCUUAAAUUCCAUUCCAUUUGCUGCACCUACCACAACUGCAACAAUGACCGGUGCGUUUAGCACCGUCUUCAAAAAGGACCCACCAACUUCGUACUUUUCUCCAGACCCGAAGCUCAAGUACAAAGUCUUCGGAAAAGAAAUCCCGGCCACGUAUGUCCACAACUUAUGUGCAGCUGUUUGUGUUCUCGUCUUGUUUCUCAGUAUCCUUGUGGAUAUUAAGGCAAUAAUAGACGAAAAGCGAAUCGUAGAUGGCAGAAUCUUGGGGGAAUACGUAGAAAAGCUUCAGUUCCUUCGCAAUGAACUAAAACAAUGUUUGACGGUAGGCUGUUCUCAACACGAAAGCGUCUCAUUCAACUCUGAUGUUAAAGAAACUGGCGCCUUUGCCCUGCCGUAAAGCCAUAUCAAGAAAGAACAAUAGCUGGCGCAUGUGCAGCAACAGGCACAUCAUGUAAAACUUUCAGAAGACAUUGAACGUACUUUUCAUGGAAAUAUUUCGAAAUAUAUUUUUCGGUAUAGUUGGUACACUUAUGGCGAGGUCACCAUGAACGAAUGAACGGUCGUUUUUCGUUUAAUUAAAAAUCUGAAUGUCCACUUUAACUGUUUUACAUUGUUCAGUAGACUUACGUCGGGACAUUAUUUAUAGUGUGUAAAAAUAGGUUGUAGUUGGUUAAUGUAAAUGGUAUAUGUUGAUUCCUCGCAUCAAGGCGUUCCUGUUUCAAUUUCCCUCUUCUAGACUGAACACGGAAGCACUGAAUUAGCGUAUUGCUUACAUUAAAAUAUGAAUUUUGUUUGACUAUGCAUCUAUUGGAGCCCAGCAUUGUUUUGUAUCAAUUAUGUUUUCAGGGGAUAUACUCAGUACUUAGUGCGUUUUCAAUUAAGAUGUUUCUUAAGAACUGAAAACAUGCUAGGGUAAUUUACAUUCCACCAUGACACAAUAACAAACUAUAACUCCUUGGCUAUAUAGUGCGGAAACGAGUUGUCAUUUCCCCCCGUUUUUCAAUAUUUUCAGUAGCUUGAAAGGGAUCAGUUAAGAUAGGUCAUAAACUGCAUAUAAUUCUUCUUUAUGUAUCACCGUUAUUAUGUUUAUAACAAUGAUUAUUUCACUUCAAUCUAUGACAUAUCACCUAGGCAGGCAUUAUGUAGCAUAGCAUUAUUCAAACUGGCAUCCCUUGAGAAAAUGAACUGACCUUUGUCCAUUAUUAUGACAGAGGUCUUAAAAUGGAAAAACCGCACACUAAACUAAGUCCUUCUGACGUUACUUCAUGUAACACUGCAAUCUCUUUGUCAAUAUUUGUUCUUCAAGUUUUUAGGUUGAUAUACAAUGCUACACUUGCUGUAAAUAAAGUACAAACCGCAGUAUAUUAUCAUGUGGGAUUGCCAGUGAAGUGAUUCUUAAUAAAGAUUUUCAUUCAAGGUAAUGCAAGAUCUGAGGUGUGAUCUUCUUUAUAUCUCCAGUGAUUAAAAGUUUAAACAUCCC